AAGAUCAUAUUUUCAGGCAUCAUUUCUAUAGUUACUAGAGAAGUUUCCCUGAUCAUGUAGAGCACUGGAAACCAUGGGGAAAAGAGGUAGUGUUCUCUCUUGAGGGUUAAACUGUCUCUUACUGUUGCUUCUGCCACUGACAUUCUUUUUUUCUUCUUCUUUUUUUUAAGAUUUUUAUUUUCAUUUAUUUGACAGAGAAAGCAAGAGAGCACAAGCAGG
rnacentral:snoRNA from 1 species